rnacentral:sRNA from 1 species
GCUGGGCAUGGUGGUGCAUGUCUGUAAUCCCAGUACCUUAGGAGGCUGAGGCAGGAAGAUUACAAGUUCAAAGCCAGCCUCAGCAAAAACGAGGUGCUAAACAACUCAGUGAGACCCUGUCUCUA